GACGAACGCUGGCGGCGUGCUUAACACAUGCAAGUCGAACGGAAAGGCCCUGCUUUUGUGGGGUGCUCGAGUGGCGAACGGGUGAGUAACACGUGAGUAACCUGCCCUUGACUUUGGGAUAACUUCAGGAAACUGGGGCUAAUACCGGAUAGGAGCUCCUGCUGCAUGGUGGGGGUUGGAAAGUUUCGGCGGUUGGGGAUGGACUGGCGGCUUAUCAGCUGGUUGGUGGGGUAGUGGCUUACCAAGGCUUUGACGGGUAGCCGGCCUGAGAGGGUGACCGGCCACAUUGGGACUGAGAUACGGCCCAGACUCCUACGGGAGGCAGCAGUGGGGAAUAUUGCACAAUGGGCGGAAGCCUGAUGCAGCAACGCCGCGUGCGGGAUGACGGCCUUCGGGUUGUAAACCGCUUUCGCCUGUGACGAAGCGUGAGUGACGGUAAUGGGUAAAGAAGCACCGGCUAACUACGUG
rnacentral:rRNA from 1 species